rnacentral:rRNA from 1 species
CAAUAGCGUAUAUUAAAGCUGUUGCGGUUAAAAAGCUCGUAGUUGGAUUUCUGUCAAGGACAGCUGGUCCGCCCCUCGGGUGAGCACAUAGUUUGGUCUUGGCAUCUUGUUGGAAACUGUUGCUGCACUUGGUUGUGUGGCGCAGUGUCCAGCACUUUCACUUUGAGGAAAUUGGAGUGUUUCAAGCAGGCACAUGCCUUUGGACACAGUAGCAUGGAAUAAUUAGAUUGGGCUUUUGCUCCAACUUGUCGGUUUCUGGAGCUGAGGUGAGAAUUAAUGGGGAUUGUUGGGGGCAUCCGAAUUUAGCCGUCAGAGGUGAAAUUCUUGGAUCUGCUAAAGACGGACAACUGCGAAAGCGUUUGCCCAGGAUGUUUUCAUUGA